AGUGAACGCUGGCGCUAGGCCUAACACAUGCAAGUCGAACGGCAGCACAGUAAGAGCUUGCUCUUACGGGUGGCGAGUGGCGGACGGGUGAGGAAUACAUCGGAAUCUACUUUUUCGUGGGGGAUAACGUAGGGAAACUUACGCUAAUACCGCAUACGACCUACGGGUGAAAGCAGGGGAUCUUCGGACCUUGCGCGAUUGAAUGAGCCGAUGUCGGAUUAGCUAGUUGGCGGGGUAAAGGCCCACCAAGGCGACGAUCCGUAGCUGGUCUGAGAGGAUGAUCAGCCACACUGGAACUGAGACACGGUCCAGACUCCUACGGGAGGCAGCAGUGGGGAAUAUUGGACAAUGGGCGCAAGCCUGAUCCAGCCAUACCGCGUGGGUGAAGAAGGCUUUCGGGUUGUAAAGCCCUUUUGUUGGGAAAGAAAAGCAGCAGGUUAAUACCCCGCUGUUCUGACGGUACCCAAAGAAUAAGCACCGGCUAACUUCGUG
rnacentral:rRNA from 1 species